rnacentral:rRNA from 1 species
UACGUAGAGGGCAAGCGUUGCCCGGAAUCAUUGGGCGUAAAGCGUACGUAGGCGGUCUAGUAAGUCAGAGGUGAAAUCCACCGGCUCAACCGGUGAACGGCCUUUGAUACUGUUAGACUUGAGGGUAAGAGAAGAAAGCGGAAUUCCUAGUGUAGCGGUGAAAUGCGUAGAUAUUAGGAAGAAUACCGAUGGCGAAAGCAGCUUUCUAACUUAUUCCUGACGAUCAGGUACGAAAGCUAGGGUAGCAAACGGG